GAUGAACGCUGGCGGCGUGCCUAAUACAUGCAAGUCGAGCGAAUGGAUUAAGAGCUUGCUCUUAUGAAGUUAGCGGCGGACGGGUGAGUAACACGUGGGUAACCUGCCCAUAAGACUGGGAUAACUCCGGGAAACCGGGGCUAAUACCGGAUAACAUUUUGAACCGCAUGGUUCGAAAUUGAAAGGCGGCUUCGGCUGUCACUUAUGGACGGAUCCGCGUCGCAUUAGCUAGUUGGUGAGGUAACGGCUCACCAAGGCAACGAUGCGUAGCCGACCUGAGAGGGUGAUCGGCCACACUGGGGCUGAGACACGGCCCAGACUCCUACGGGAGGCAGCAGUAGGGAAUCUUCCGCAAUGGACGAAAGUCUGACGGAGCAACGCCGCGUGAGUGAUGAAGGCUUUCGGGUCGUAAAACUCUGUUGUUAGGGAAGAACAAGUGCUAGUUGAAUAAGCUGACACCUUGACGGUACCUAACCAGAAAGCCACGGCUAACUACGUGCCAGCAGCCGCGGUAA
rnacentral:rRNA from 1 species